UACGAAGGGGGCUAGCGUUGCUCGGAAUCACUGGGCGUAAAGCGCACGUAGGCGGACUCUUAAGUCAGGGGGUGAAAUCCUGGAGCUCAACUCCAGAACUGCCCUUGAUACUGGGAGCCUUGAGUUCGGGAGAGGUGAGUGGUAACUGCGAGUGUAGAGGUGAAAUUCGGUAGAUAUUCGCAAGAACACCAGUGGCGAAGGCGGCUCACUGGCCCGGUACUGACGCUGACGGUGCGAAAGCGUGGGGAGCAA
rnacentral:rRNA from 1 species